GGAGAGCUGACCGAGAGGCCGAAGGUGCUUGAUUCGAAAUCAAGUGUGCCCUUGCGGGUACCGUGGGUUCGAAUCCCACGCUCUCCG
rnacentral:tRNA from 1 species